UCAAAAGAUGGAACCUUUGUGUAUUUCUCAGAUUUCCCAGACCAAAUCACAUUAGUCUUGCAAUACUUCUUCGCUUCCUUGACAGCUUUAUCACCCCACGAACCAGUAACAACGAAAUCGACUGUAUCAUCCGAUUUGCAGAGAUUGAGAGGUAAAGCAGCGAAUUGAGUAGUGGCACCACCUUGUAAGAACAAAACGGAAUAUUCCUGAGGAAUCUCGAGAAGCUGACGAAGAUCCGAUUCAGCUUUUUGUAUAAUCGAGAGAAACUCUUUGCCUCUGUGACUCAUCUCCAUCACACUCAUGCCAGAUCCACGCCAGUUGUAUAG